AUUGUACGGAGGCAGCGCUGAUGGAAGCGUUCUAAGAGUCACAAGUGGUGGCGGUAAAUGACCCAUGAUUCAGACCCAUAUAAAAGAGCAGACAGUACAAUGGCUCUGUAAACACUGAUCUUUGUACUUUUCUUCAGGUGUUUAUUACACCAAACUCUUUUAUGGAGUUUUCUGAAAGCUCUAUAUGCCUUUGCUAACCCAUUAUCUAUCUCUCCGUUAAUCUUACCGUCCGAGAGGAGAUGAUACCGGAGAUAGGAAGA